rnacentral:misc_RNA from 1 species
UAUACAACCGUUCUACCUCG